GGAAGGGGAGGGGACAUCAAGGCCAGCUCCUGCCACGCCUGCUGCCCCCAGCCCUGGCCCAAGACAUAUGUCUGAGGGGUCUCCCAGAGGGUGUGGCCCUGUUCUUGGUGUGGCCGCAGUGGAUACCCUGGGAGGAGGUGGGAAGACGUGGGUGAGUAGAAGAGGGUGCCUGGGUAGGGGGUGAGCUCCCUGUCUCAGGAGUGUGCAAGCAGAGGCUGGACCACUGGUGAGUCCUGCCCGAGGCCGUGAUCCUUGAAGGAAUUUGGGAGGCAGGGUCUAACCUGAACAUCAUUAUUGAAGCAUGGUUUUAUGAAAUGCCAUUUGAAGCGUCCUGUGACAACAAAAUUUUGAAAAGGAACCAACUGAAAGAGCUCCCAGUGGCCAAAGUGGGAACAACGUGAGCGAGAAAAUCAAUAAUGUCGUAUUGGACGAUAACCCACAGUGUUCAACAGACAUCCGUGAAUCCAUGCUGGUCUAAAUAAGAAGGAAUAAACAAAUCAAUGGUGGAGAAGAGACGAAUCGCCCGCACAGAAGAAUCCCACAUAAUGUGUGUGGAUACACCUCCUUUGCGGGGGGAAACCCAGCUCCCAGGUGGCUGCGCACAGCGACUUCCUUCCCUUCCGGAGGGCAUGGGAUGGAAAGGGGAAGCACACACACCUCACAGGGAAACGUCAUGUCGGGAGCCUGUGUCCUGAUGUGAGGGGAGCAGAAGGGCACUUCACCCUGUGGUCUUCCUCCCCAGACCAAGGCGCCCAGUGCAAUCAUGACGUAAACAUCAGACAAAUCCCCAUAGAGGGGCAUCUUACAAAAAUCCUGACAGUCCUCCUCCAAACCAUCAAGGUCACCAGAACAAGGGAAGUCUGACUGCCAGAGGAGUCUAAGGAGACGCGAUGACUGAGUGUCUGUGGUGUCCAGGAUGGGAUCCUGGGACAGAGAAAGGACAUUAGGUAAAGGCUAAAGAAACCUGGAUAAAGUAUGGACUUGAGUUAACAGUAAUGAAUCGAUAUCAAUUGAUGGGUUGUGACAAAUGUCCCACACCCACAUCGGAUGUCAAUAAUGGGGGGAACUGGGUGUGGGGUACAUGUGAACUCUCUGUACCAUCUUUGCAACUUUUCUGUAAACCUAAAACUGUUCUAAAAUAAAUCUUAGUUAAAAACCUG